rnacentral:lncRNA from 1 species
GAUAGAUAAGUAAUUACUAACCAUAUUAUAAGUCUGUUGUUCGUGAAGGUUGUUGUCUUCCUUUUGCAUCUGGAUUACUUGAACUCGGGUCUCAAAACUUCCAACCCAAACCAUGGGGCAAAUUAAAAAGGCAUAAUAUCAUCUAUCAAACGAUUGACAAAUUCUAUGUUAUAGAAGAUUUUAAAAAGGCCAAAGGUUUAACAAUGUCUUACCAUGUCGUUGUAAGUUCACUAUUAUUUUUCGACAACUUUGUGUCCAUCUCCCUUCCCUCGGUUUCUCUAGAAAGAGGAGUUGGUCGGUACUACUAAUACUUCAAGCCUGAAAGAAAAGAUAUAACAAAGUUGACUCUAACUCUUUCUAAUAAUAUUCAUCUAAUAUAAUAACAACAUGAACUUACAAGUGCAAUGUUGAUUCCGUGACUUCUGAACAGUCUACUAGGUUGCUCUCUCACUAAACAGAGCCUCUACAAUUAAGUUAACCCGACUUCUCUAAUUAAUAAUUGUUUAUGAUCGUUGCCGAAGCUCCUAUAAUUGGACGUUCAAUCUAAACCGUCAGUUAUAAGUUAAUUUAGGGUUAUCGCUACAAGAAAGAAGAUCGUUAAAUAAAAGUACCUUUGUAUGUCGAUUCUGAUAUGAAUAUAUCAACUCAUAUAUGUUGUUAUGUUCGUCUUCUCCCUUCAACUUCUGUUAGGAGGUUAGGCUUUAUAGAACAGAUGUUCAUGAUAGAAGCUCCAGAAGCUUUUUCAACCAUUGAUUGUGUUUCAUGUCUAAUCACCCAAAUCUAGAGAUUACUUUUAUCUUCUCCCAUUCCAGUAUGUAUCCUCAAAACUAGCGCUGCUCUACACGAUUUAGAUCAAAUCUACCAAUAUCUCAGUAACAAAACCAAACCCUACUCUAUCAAUAGAAAUCGAUUAUAAUAUAAAUACUAAUCAAACUCCUAACCUUUGUUAUCAAUGUUACUCACUGCCGAUCUUUAAAUUGCUUCGGUUUAGAUUUCGAUACAUAAGUGUUCAGUCUCUAUGUCGGGAUUUUUGGUGAGGAUUCGACGACAGAUAUGAGCUCUGUUUAUAAUGAAACAAAAAAGUCCUUUUUCGAUAAAAAGAACAAGAAACGGUUGUUGGUUUCCCGUAAAAAAAACAAACAGAGUUUUAAUG